CCCGGCACAAGCGGUGGAGCAUGUGGUUUUAAUUCGAAGCAACGCGCAGAACCUUACCAGCCCUUGACAUGGGACGUAUGUUGGCCAGAGAUGGCCUCUUGUCUUCGGACGCGUCCGCACAGGUGCUGCAUGGCUGUCGUCAGCUCGUGUCGUGAGAUGUUGGGUUAAGUCCCGCAACGAGCGCAACCCUCAUCUUCAGUUGCCAUCAGUUCGGCUGGGCACUCUGAAGAAACUGCCGGUGACAAGCCGGAGGAAGGUGGGGAUGACGUCAAGUCCUCAUGGCCCUUACGGGCUGGGCUACACACGUGCUACAAUGGUGGUGACAAUGGGCAGCAAACCCGCGAGGGGGAGCUAAUCUCCAAAAGCCAUCUCAGUUCGGAUUGCACUCUGCAACUCGAGUGCAUGAAGUCGGAAUCGCUAGUAAUCGUGGAUCAGCACGCCACGGUGAAUACGUUCCCGGGCCUU
rnacentral:rRNA from 1 species